AAAGUACUCCCUCCGUUCGGAAUUAUUUGUCUCGGAAAUGGAUAUAUCUAGAAUUAAAAUACGUCUAGAUACAUCCAUUUUUGCAACAAGUAAUUCCGAACGGAGGGUGUACAUU
rfam:Triticum urartu cultivar G1812 contig498781, whole genome shotgun sequence.